GGACCCGUAGCUCAGCGGUAGAGCAUCUGAUUCCAGUGAUCCUGUUAUUGGAAACAGCAUCCAGAAGGUCAUCCGUUCAAAUCGGGUCGGGUUCA